UACGUAGGGGGCAAGCGUUGUUCGGAAUUACUGGGCGUAAAGGGCGCGUAGGCGGCAUGGCAAGUCAGGAGUGAAAGGCCUGGGCUCAACCCAGGAACUGCUUUUGAGACUGCCAAGCUAGAGUGCGGAAGGGGCAACUGGAAUUCCCAGUGUAGCGGUGAAAUGCGUAGAUAUUGGGAAGAACACCGGAGGCGAAGGCGGGUUGCUGGGCCGACACUGACGCUGAGGCGCGAAAGCCAGGGGAGCAAACGGG
rnacentral:rRNA from 1 species